rnacentral:rRNA from 1 species
AACGAACGCUGGCGGCAUGCCUAACACAUGCAAGUCGAACGGGAUCCUAGCUUGCUAGGUGAGAGUGGCGGACGGGUGAGUAACACGUGGGAAUCUGCCUUUUGGUUCGGGAUAACCGCGGGAAACUGCGGCUAAUACCGAAUGCCCUCGAGAGAGGAAAGAUUUAUCGCCAGAAGAGGAGCCCGCGUCCGAUUAGGUAGUUGGUGGGGUAAAGGCCUACCAAGCCGACGAUCGGUAGCUGGUCUGAGAGGAUGAUCAGCCACACUGGGACUGAGAUACGGCCCAGACUCCUACGGGAGCAGCAGUGGGGAAUAUUGGACAAUGGGGGGCAACCCUGAUCCAGCAAUGCCGCGUGAGU